UACGUAGGGUGCGAGCGUUGUCCGGAAUUAUUGGGCGUAAAGGGCUCGUAGGCGGUUUGUCGCGUCGGGAGUGAAAACACUGGGCUUAACUCAGUGCUUGCUUCCGAUACGGGCAGACUAGAGGUAUUCAGGGGAGAACGGAAUUCCUGGUGUAGCGGUGAAAUGACGCAGAUAUCAGGAGGAACACCGGUGGCGAAGGCGGGUCUCUGGACAGUUCCUGACGCUGAGGCACGAAGGUCAGGGGAGCAAACGGG
rnacentral:rRNA from 1 species